GGAACGCUGUGAAAAUAACAAAAAGUAAACUUUUGGAGGCAGCGAGGAACGGACUUAAAUAUGAAAAGUAGACACAACAUUUAUCACCUGUAAUCUCAUGGCUGGACUACUGCAACUCCCUACUGGCAGGUGCACAACACUGCCACAUCACACCACUGCUGCGUUCUCUUUACUGGCUUCCUGUAGCUGGUCAAGGUCUAAUAAAACCCCAGUCUGUAUCAUGCACCUCCACCCAGAACUCGAGGAAGACAUGCAUCAAGGCUCUAUUCUGUACUUGCACCCAAGUGGUGGAACGAACUUCCAUUGUCUGUCCAAACAUCUGAGUCUCUCACUUCACUGUCAAAAGACGAUUAAAAACCUUCAUCACCUCUUUACUAAGCACUUAAGCUGACGUACUUACUAACGCUCUUAUUAAUUUCUUGAGCAAAACACUUUAUAUUCUGUGACUGUUGUCUUCUUAAACUAGAGUGAGGUAAUAUAUACUAUGGAAGCACUUAUGUAAGUCGCUCUGGAUAAGACUGUCUGCUAAAUGCUAAAAAUGUAAAUGUAUUUAGUUGGAUGAAUCAGCUGGUAAGUGGUGUGUGGGGGGAAAAGACAAAAGAACAGCUUGUCUUAAAAACAUAUCUGGGGAGACAGUGGUCAAUAGCCCUUUUUAUCUAUAAAUUUUUGUCUUUGGUCUUACUUAAGUGAGCCUAGUCUACGAUGUUGAGUGGUGGGACCCAAGGAUGUUCAAAAGCUGUUAAACUUGGCCAUGUAUUGGUAAAAAAAUUUAUAUGUUUUAUGUCUAGACAACAGCUAUUUAUUUAUUUAUAUUUAAAGUAAUGUUUUACGCUUUUUCGUUACAUUCAUGACAGAACAGAUAGUCAUCAUUACACAAGAUUCAUCAGUUCAAGUAUUUAAUGUCAAACACAGUCAUGGACAAUUUAUCUUACUUGCAGACCUUUGGACUGUCAAAGGAAUCCGCACCUCCCGAAGGAAACCCACGCAGACACGAGAGAACAUGCAAACCCCACAUAGAAAGAACCCAGACCGCUCCACCUGGGAAUCGAACCCAGGACCUUCUUGCUGUGAGGCAGCAGUGCUACCCACUAAAUCACUGUGCCGCCCAGACAACAGCUAAAGUUAGAGAAAGUGGCAUCUGCCUGGUCUACUUUUAGAAGUCUGCCAGUGUUUGCUUGGUGCAAUGGUAUUAUUUGCUUAGACACUGUUCACUCCUAGAUAGAUUAUAUUGUAGAUAGAACUAUUGUAGACUGAACUAUUACUGGAUGAACGUGUAUUAGAGGUAGUUCAGAGGAAAAAGUGCAUGUGAGCUACAAUAAUGCAUUGUAUAUUAAUAAUGAAUAAUAAGACUAUUAAACAUAAGUUGUGUCAGAGUGUACACGUUUGUUAUAGCUCUUGAUUGUUUAAUCUGUAAUGCUAAAGUAAAUGGGAUAAAAAUUACAGCCUUUAUUGAUUGAACAAAGGUUGACGAGGGCUUACUUUGUUUAUGUUGGAUUUGUGCUUAUCAAGUUUCUUUUUUGGAGAAAACCCCUCCCGUGAGUUUUCUGUAUGUAAUAUUUGAGUUGGCUGUCCUUACCAGGAUAGUGUUCCUCUACAUGAGUGCAUACAGACACAGGCGGAUUGUAAUUACACUGAAGUUAAAUAAAGUAUGGUAUGUGACUAUUAA